rnacentral:lncRNA from 1 species
CUCCAAUUUCAUAUUAAUCCUAUUAUCAGCGUGUUUUGAUUCUUUAGGCUUGUCAACUUCUUCUGAAUCUUCCUUGAUUGAUUUGCUCAAUCCAAUCAAUUUCUCAACUUUAUUGAAACGACAAGAUUCAACUACAUUCUCGAGCUCACCUAGUUUUUCAAUUAGUUUAGGAAUCACAUAUUUAGACCUCGGAUCAAUGUUUUCUGAAUCCCUCCAAAGCCAAAAAUCGCA